GACGAACGCUGGCGGCGUGCUUAACACAUGCAAGUCGAGCGGUAAGGCCCCUUCGGGGGUACACGAGCGGUGAACGGGUGAGUAACACGUGGGUGACCUGCCCUCAGCUCUGGGAUAAGCCUGGGAAACUGGGUCUAAUACCGGAUAUGACUCCAUGACGCAUGUCGUGGGGUGGAAAGCCUUGUGCGGCUGGGGAUGGGCCCGCGGCCUAUCAGCUUGUUGGUGGGGUGAUGGCCUACCAAGGCGACGACGGGUAGCCGGCCUGAGAGGGCGACCGGCCACACUGGGACUGAGACACGGCCCAGACUCCUACGGGAGGCAGCAGUGGGGAAUCUUGCGCAAUGGGCGAAAGCCUGACGCAGCGACGCCGCGUGAGGGAUGACGGCCU
rnacentral:rRNA from 1 species